GAUGAAGAACGCAGCAAAAUGCGAUAAGUAAUGUGAAUUGCAGAAUUCAGUGAAUCAUCGAAUCUUUGAACGCACAUUGCGCCCGCUGGUAUUCCGGCGGGCAUGCCUGUUCGAGCGUCAUUUCAACCCUCAAACCCCCGGGUUUGGUGUGGGGGAUCGGCUCUGCCUCACGGCGGUGCCGCCCCCGAAAUACAUUGGCGGUCUCGCUGCAGCCUCCAUUGCGUAGUAGCUAACACCUCGCAACUGGAACGCGGCGCGGCCAUGCCGUAAAACCCCAACUUCUGAAUGUUGACCUCGGAUCAGGUAGGAAUACCCGCUGAACUUAAGCAUAUCAAUAAGCGGAGGA
rnacentral:misc_RNA from 1 species